rnacentral:rRNA from 1 species
UUUUUUCCUGUAGCAAUACAGGGAAAAGUCUAGUGGCGAACGGGUGCGUAACACGUGGGCAAUCUGCCUUAAAGUGGGGGAUAGCUCGGCGAAAGCCGAAUUAAUACCGCAUGUGAUCAGGGGAGACAUCUUCCCGAAAUCAAAAGUGGCGCAAGCUACUGCUUUUUGAGGAGCCCGCGGCCUAUCAGCUAGUUGGUGAGGUAACGGCUCACCAAGGCUUUGACGGGUAGCUGGUCUGAGAGGACGACCAGUCACACUGGAACUGAGACACGGUCCAGACACCUACGGGUGGCAGCAGUCGAGAAUUUUUCUCAAUGGGGGAAACCCUGAAGGAGCGACGCCGCGUGGAGGAUGAAGGUCUUCGGGUUGUAAACUCCUGUCAUUUGGGAACAAGUGCCGGUACGUAACUGCUACCGGCUUGAUAGUACCAGAAGAGGAAGAGACGGCUAACUCUGUGCCAGCAGCCGCGGUAAUACAGAGGUCUCAAGCGUUGUUCGGAUUCAUUGGGCGUAAAGGGUGUGUAGGUGGCGCCGUAAGUCGGGUGUGAAAUUUCGGAGCUUAACUCCGAAACUGCAUUCGAUACUGCCGUGCUUGAGGACUGGAGAGGAGACUGGAAUUCAUGGUGUAGCAGUGAAAUGCGUAGAGAUCAUGAGGAAGACCAGUGGCGAAGGCGGGUCUCUGGACAGUUCCUGACACUGAGACACGAAGGCCAGGGGAGCAAACGGGAUUAGAUACCCCGGUAGUCCUGGCAGUAAACGGUGCACGUUUGGUGUGGGAGGAUUCGACCCCUUCUGCGCCGGAGCUAACGCGUUAAACGUGCCGCCUGGGGAGUACGGUCGC